rnacentral:rRNA from 1 species
AUUGAACGCUGGCGGCAGGCCUAACACAUGCAAGUCGAACGAGUGGCGGACGGGUGAGUAAUGUCUGGGAAACUGCCUGAUGGAGGGGGAUAACUCCUGGAAACGGUAGCUAAUACCGCAUACCCUAAGAUUUCCCCAGAUGGGAUUAGCUUGUAGGUGGGAUAACGGCUCACCAAGGCGACGAUCCCUAGCUGGUCUGAGAGGAUGACCAGCCACACUGGAACUGAGACACGGUCCAGACUCCUACGGGAGGCAGCAGUGGGGAAUAUUGCACAAUGGGCGCAAGCCUGAUGCAGCCAUGCCGCGUGUAUGAAGAAGGCCUUCGGGUUGUAAAGUACUUUCAGCGGGGAGGCGUUACCCGCAGAAGAAGCACCGGCUAACUCCGUGCCAGCAGCCGCGGUAAUUC